CGGGCGGAAGGCAUCACUUUGUCCGGACUCUAAUUCAAAUUGUAUUCAUCCGAUCUUCACCAAACUUGGUCAGCAGUUGCAUCUAGUUGAUAUCUAGGCCAAGUUCGAAUAUGGGUCAUGCCGGGUCAAAAACUAGGUCAUAGGGUCAAUUAGUGCAUUUUCAACGGCGCCACUUUGUCCGGACUCUAAUUCAAAUAGUUUUCAUCCGAUCUUCACCAAACUUGCUCAGAAGUUGAGUCUAGACAAUAUCUAGGCCAAGUUGGAAUAUGGGUCAUGCCGGGUCAAAAACUAGGUCAUGGGGUCACUUAGUGCAUUUCAAGGAUUUCAUGGUGUCCGCUCUCUAAAUGAAGUAGUUUUCACCCGAUCUUCACCAAAUUUGGUCAAAAGUUGUGUCUAUAUGAUAUGUAGGUCAGGUUUAAAUAUGGGUCAUGCCGGGUCAAAAACUAGGUCACGAGGUUACUUAGUGCAUUUCAAGCAUUUAGCAUGGUGUCCGCUCUCUAAUUGAAGUAGUUUUCAUCUGAUCUUCACCUAAUUUGGUUACAAGUUGUGUCUAGAUGAUAUGUAGGUCAAGUUCGAAUAUGGGUCAUGCCCGGUCAAAAACGAGGUCACAUGGUGCAUUUAAAGCAUUUAGCAUGGUGUCCGCUCUCUAAUUGAAGUAGUUUUCAUCUGAUCUUCACCAAAUUUAGUCAGAUGUUACAUCUAAAUGAUAUCUAGGUCAAGUUCAAAUAUGGGUCAUGCCAAGUCAAUAACUAGGUCUUGAGGUCACUUAGUGCAUUUCAAGCAUUGAGCAUGGUGUCCAAAACCUUCUAACGGGCGUAUCUUGUGACAGUUUGGCACUCUUGUUUCCGUUUAAAGUUACAUGUCGUAUUUAAUUCAACAUGCUAUCAAGCUUAAGAUAAAUUAUUUGUAAUAAGAUUAAAUUGUUGUAUAAUAUAUAAAAACGUUGUAUAUUUUCAUGCGGUCAUUUUAUGUAUAAACGCUCAGAUUUGGUUUACGGUAUAUUGUUUCGGUUUAAUUUGGUAUUGGUUGGGGCACUCUUCAUUGAUGGAUGACCGUUUUGGGGGUGUCGCACAAGCGGACCAUUAUCGUUUUAUCUCAGAGUUCCACGGCAAAACGCAAACGUUUACUGGUAAGCGACAUGCCGUUGGACCCCGUACCAAACGCUCUUGGAUGUGUACCUGAUAGCGUCAACCUCUUUGUGACAGUUAUGUUGACCGCUCAAGGAGGACACAGGUUACAUCAGUUUAGGCAUGGAGACUGGAACACUGCAAUGGCGGGACAAGGUGUUACACUUCCCGCCACUUCCUCUGCUGGACAAUUACGGAGAUGUUACCGGGUCAGAUGGUCGAUUCUUGGUGCACUAUGAUUUUGACGGAAAGUUGUAUGCGAAAUAAAAUUUUACGGUCUGGUACAAAUGUUCAGUAUGCAGCUAGUUGGGGCCAUGUAUUUCUUACUGGUCGGUGAACAGGGCGGUCUAGUUGUGAGACGCUAACGCGAUUCCGGUGGCGGAAAUCUUCUUGAACGACAUUAUCCAUAACGCUAACGGAACGUUCCUACCAGUUUCGCAGACAGUGUCAUAUGCGAAGGAUUUAUUUGCCGACUGAGUUUGUAACUGAAAGCUAUUCAGAUUCUUGUGAACCUAUUGUUCUGGAUAUUCAACGAUUGUACGCGAGUGAUAUCAAUGAUCGACCAGCGGGCAUUAUGACAAUCUCGUGGUUCUUCAACUUUGAAAUGUUAGCCAGGCACACAACACUAUCAGACAAACUUAUCUUCCAAUCUCGAGUUAAGCGAAAUGAAAACAUGACAUAAACAUAUCAAGGGAGGCUUAUUCGGGUUUUAAUCGGCGCGAGAGAAUUAAAAUAAUUACGGAUUCGAUCAAUUAUAUGCAAAAUGUUUUAUGCAAUAAAGCAUCACGAACGGUC